rnacentral:misc_RNA from 1 species
GCUGUCCUAACCAUAAAUGCUGCCAUAUUUUCCACAGCCGCUGCCUAUACAAAUGAUGUUGUUUCCCUUCCUAUUGGCUUAUUUGAUAUUGCUACCAGAAUAAACAAAUGACAUCAGACAACUUUUGCUUGUAACUAUGCAGUUUUAUUCAGGCAAAAAGGAAAAAGCCACUAACCCAACAGUAAUACAAGCAACUAGUCUUCUGUCUUUCUACAUUUUGCAGCUAAACCAUGCAUAUCACCUAUGAGCAG